rnacentral:lncRNA from 1 species
GGUAAUACAACAUCACAAUAAGCCUUGCAAGCAAUGUGACUAAGAAGUUAGUCACGGGAUAUUCUACUAAGAAACAAGUAAAGAGACUUGCCAGUAAUGAGAUUGAACUAGGAAUAGAGAUACCGACGAUCGAAUCUCGGGCAAGUAACAUACCGAUGGACAAAGGGAACUGCAUACGGGAUUAUCUGAAUCCUUGACAUAGAGGUUCAACCGAUAGAUAUCUUCGUAG